GAGAUAAGUGUUUUGUCAGAUUUUUCAUGUCACUGUUUAGGUGUUUGUUUCAAACCAUAUAGUGAUUUAACAAGUUUACAUAUUUUAUUUUCCUAUCCAUGCACUAUAAAUCUCUUGGGUUGUUCCAUGUAAAUUUUUUCAUCUAAUUCUCUAUUAAGGAAAGCAAUUUUAACAUCUAUUUGAUGUAUUACAAGUUUGUGCAUAGAAGCUGUGGCAAUCGAGACUCUAAUAGUAGCUAUAAGUGUCACGGGUGAAUAUGUGUCAAAGUAAUCUAUUCCCUCCUUUUGUGUAUAUCCUUUAGCUACUAAGCCUGGCUAUAAAUUUAUUUAUAGACCCAUCUGCUUUAAGCUUCUUUCUAAAUACCCAUUUACAUCCUAUAGGUUUACAUCCUCUAGGUAGAUCCACUAGUUCCCAAGUGCGAUUAGUCAUGAUUGAUUCUAGUUCACUAUUUAUUGCAUCUUUCCAGAAGUUAGCAUCUAUUGAUUUCAUAGCUUCUUGAUAUGUUUUAGGGUCUUCUUCAGUGAUACAAGCUGUGAUAAAAUAUGGUCCAAAACUGGACUCUAUUUUAGGUCUUUUACUUCUCCUAAGAUCUUGGAUAGGUAUAUCUGUAGUUGUUUCAGAUGUGGAUUUGGAAGAAGGUUGAUGUGCAGUGGAUAUAAUGUGCGCCAUAUUGUAGCUAUUUUCAAUGUCUCAGGGAACCACACCUAGGAGCAAAUGUUUUCUUAAAUAAUCUUGCAAGAUCUGGUUUUCUUCAGCUCACAGCACAUGCACACCCCAUUAUGCAACAAAGGUAUCGAUAUUGGUAACGGUUGAUGGCUAUUGAUGACUUUCAAAUUCUUUUAAUUUGACUCCCUUUUAGGGCAACAGUUUUGUUUCUAAAUUUGCCUUUAGUUUAUGUAAUUAAUGACUUUUACAUUCAUUUCACAAAUUACUUCACUAGUGUUGUGAAAGAUUUUUGGGUAGUGUUUGGGUGUGCAACCCCACACCGUAUGCACCUUAAUUCUGAACCAUUAGAUUACUUAAAUUUGAUCUUAACAAUGGUGGAAAAUAGGCAACCGGGUUAACCGGUUAACCUUUAGCUCUCCCAUCUACUCUUGGCCUCACUCUUUUGUUUCUCUCUCCGUUGCUGUCCCUCCGUUGGCUUUCCCUCUGCUGCUCUCACUUCGGUGGCGAAGGAGCUGCUCAGGGACCACCGCAGCCAUUGAUAGCAGGCUUGAAGCUUUCAGUUUCAAGAACAUCAGUCCGCUCAGAUUCCUAUGAUCGAAGAGACUCUCCGAUUCACCGGUGUUCCUGGUGAUUACAUCUGUGGCGGGAGGAUUUUGCUGCAUUCGUUCUUGGCGCAGAAUCCCUUGGACUUUGCCUGUCGAAGCCCUAGGUCACAGCCCCCCCUCUCUCUCUGUAUUUCCUAAAAUCUAGUAUAUAUUUUGGUCCAUUUUCUGAGCCUUAUUCCGGUUAUGCUUCUGUUUAUAUAUAGAAGUUGAAUUCUUAGAUAGAUCCAUGAAAAUAGCUAAAAUCUAGAAGUUGAAUUCUUAUAGCUAAAAGAUGGAAAGAAUAUUACUUCAAUCACCACUGGAGAGCAAGAAUUCUUAGAUAGAUCCACGAAAAUAGCAUUAAAUGAAGCAAAUCCAUUUCAUACGAAAGCUCCACGA